rnacentral:lncRNA from 1 species
AAAGGGCUUGAUGUGAAGGAAAACAAAAUAUGUUGAUAAUAAAUAAAUAAAAUAUGAAUAAAUAAAAAGGAUUUCUUUUUUUUAAGCAUAAGAAAAUAAAAAUAGAAUAAUAAAAAAAUGUUUUGGAAUAAUUUAAAUUAAAUGGAGUGAAAACUAACCUAAAUUAAAUAGUUCCAAAAAAAGAAAUAAAUACAAAUAAAAUAAAAUAAAGUGACAACAAAUACCCAAGCCAAUGAUUCAACUGGGG